rnacentral:tRNA from 1 species
AGCAGCGUAGCCUAGUGGAUAGAGCCUGACCCUGGGAGUCAGAAAGACCUGGGUUCUAAUCCCAGCUCUGCCA